CUGGCGGCGUGCCUAACACAUGCAAGUCGAGCGAGGAGAUUCCGUCGGGAUGAUCCUAGCGGCGGACGGGUGAGUAACACGUGGGCAACCUGCCUCAUAGAGAGGAAUAGCCUUCCGAAAGGGAGAUUAAUACCUCAUAACAUUGCAGUUUCGCAUGGAACAGCAAUUAAAGGAGCAAUCCACUAUGAGAGUGGGCCCGCGGCGCAUUAGCUAGUUGGUGAGGUAACGGUUCACCAAGGCGACGAUGCGUAGCCGACCUGAGAGGGUGAUCGGCCACAUUGGGACUGAGACACGGCCCAGACUCCGUACGGGAGGCAGCAGGUGGGGAAUAUUGCACAAUGGGGGAAACCCUGAUGCAAGCAACGCCGCGUGAGUGAUGACGGCCUUCGGGUUGUAAAGCUCUGUCUUCAGGGACGAUAAUGACGGUACCUGAGGAGGAAGCCACGGCUAACUACGUGCCAGCAGCGGC
rnacentral:rRNA from 1 species